ensembl:snRNA U2 U2 spliceosomal RNA
AUCACUUCUUGGCCUUUUGGCUAAGAUCAAGUGUAGGAAAUUAGGGAUGACCUGUACAAGAUUUUAUCAUCAGAUUGCUUACAAUCACAGGAAAAUUCUGAGGUUGAUUUCCACUUUUGCUAUUUUAACUGCUUAAUAAUUUUGCCUUAAAUUGUUAAGAAGAAUAUUU